CCUACGGGACGCAGCAGUGGGGGAUAUUGCACAAUGGGGGAAACCCUGAUGCAGCGACGCCGCGUGAGUGAAGAAGCAUUUCGGUGUGUAAAGCUCUAUCAGCAGGGAAGAAGAAAUGACGGUACCCGACUAAGAAGCCCCGGCUAACUACGUGCCAGCAGCCGCGGUAAUACGUAGGGGGCAAGCGUUAUCCGGAUUUACUGGGUGUAAAGGGAGCGUAGACGGCAAUGCAAGUCCGAUGUGAAAGCCCGGGGCUCAACCCCGGGACUGCACUGGAAACUGUCGUGCUGGAGUGUCGGAGGGGG
rnacentral:rRNA from 1 species